rnacentral:rRNA from 1 species
GUGCCAGCAGCCGCGGUAAUACGUAGGGUGCGAGCGUUAAUCGGAAUUACUGGGCGUAAAGCGUGCGCAGGCGGUUUUGUAAGUCAGAUGUGAAAGCCCCGGGCUCAACCUGGGAACUGCGUUUGAAACUGCAAGGCUAGAGUAUGGGAGAGGGAGGUAGAAUUCCACGUGUAGCAGUGAAAUGCGUAGAGAUGUGGAGGAAUACCAAUGGCGAAGGCAGCCUCCUGGCCUAAUACUGACGCUCAUGCACGAAAGCGUGGGGAGCAAACAGGAUUAGAUACCCUGGUAGUCCACGCCCUAAACGAUGUCUACUAGUUGUUGGUGGAGUAAAAUCCAUUAGUAACGCAGCUAACGCGUGAAGUAGACCGCCUGGGGAGUACGGUCGCAAGAUUAAAACUCAAAGGAAUUGACGG